rnacentral:rRNA from 1 species
GGAGGGUGCAAACGUUUGUUCGGAAUCACUGGGCGUAAAGGGCGCGCAGGCGGACCUGUAAGUCAGGAGUGAAAACUCGGGGCUCAACUCCGAGCCUGCUUCUGAAACUGCAAGUCUUGAGGGCCGGAGAGGAGAGUGGAAUUCCUAGUGUAGCGGUGGAAUGCGUAGAUAUUAGGAAGAACACCAGUGGCGAAGGCGACUCUCUGGACGGUUCCUGACGCUGAGGCGCGAAAGCUAGGGGAGCAAACAGGGAUUAGAUACCCUGGUAGUCCUAGCCGUAAACGAUGAGUGCUAGGUGGUGGUGGUUUCAACGCCUUCACUGCCGGAGCUAACGCAUUAAGCACUCCGCCUGGGAGUACGGCCGCAAGGUUG